CUAAGUUUGAUGGCGACCGGCGCACGGGUGAGUAACACGUAUCCAACCUGCCGAUGACUCGGGGAUAGCCUUUCGAAAGAAAGAUUAAUACCCGAUGGCAUAGUUCUUCCGCAUGGUGGAACUAUUAAAGAAUUUCGGUCAUCGAUGGGGAUGCGUUCCAUUAGGUUGUUGGCGGAGUAACGGCCCACCAAGCCUUCGAUGGAUAGGGGUUCUGAGAGGAAGGUCCCCCACAUUGGAACUGAGACACGGACCAAACUCCUACGGAGGCAGCAUG
rnacentral:rRNA from 1 species